rnacentral:sRNA from 1 species
AGAAAAAAGGAAAAAAAAAAGGGAAUAAAGUCAAUAAACAGUAU